rnacentral:lncRNA from 1 species
UGGCUAUGAUACUUGCUCUCGUGAGUUGACCAAUGGGUCAACUCACGAGAGCACGGGCAAUAUCCUUCGGCUUAGGCUUUCGGCAAGUGCGGCUCGGCGGGGUACGACCUCGCGCGAGCACUAAUGGCACCGCUCGUCGGCUU